rnacentral:rRNA from 1 species
GAUGAACGCUGGCGGCGUGCUUAAUACAUGCAAGUCGAGCGAAAGGGCGAGAUCGUGGCUUUACUAAUGUUGGCGGGGGAAGGGAGAUGAACACGUGGUUAACCUACCUUUAGGAUUGGGAUAACUUAGGGAAACCGGAGCUAAAACCGUGUAAUUUUUGGAACGGCAGGGUUCAAAAGGUAAAGCGGGUCUGGCUGGACCUUAUGGAUGUACCCGCGUUGCUUUAGUUGGUUGGUAAGGUAACGGCUAACCAAGGCAACGAUGCAAAGCCGACCGGAGAGGGGGUUCGGCCCCACUGGAACUGAGACACGGUCCUGACUCCGACGGGAGGCCGCAGUAGGGAAUCUUCCGCAAUGGGCGAAAUCCUGACGGAGCAACGCCGCGUGAGUGAUGAAGGUCUUCGGAUCGUAAAACUCUGUUAUUAGGGAAGACCAUAUGUGUAAGUAACGGUGCACAUCUUGACGGUACCUAAUCAGAAAGCCACGGCUAACUACGUG